UAUGUAUCGUUUAUUUGAUAGUACCUUACUACUUGGAUAACCGUGGUAAUUCUAGAGCUAAUACAUGCUAAAAAUCCCGACUUCGGAAGGGAUGUAUUUAUUAGAUUAAAAACCAAUGCCCUUCGGGGCUCCUUGGUGAUUCAUGAUAACUUCGCGAAUCGCAUGGCCUUGCGCCGGCGAUGGUUCAUUCAAAUUUCUUCCCUAUCAACUUUCGAUGUUUGGGUAUUGGCCAAACAUGGUUGCAACGGGUAACGGAGGGUUAGGGCUCGACCCCGGAGAAGGAGCCUGAGAAACGGCUACUACAUCCAAGGAAGGCAGCAGGCGCGCAAAUUACCCAAUCCCGACUCGGGGAGGUAGUGACAAUAAAUACUGAUACAGGGCUCUUUAGGGUCUUGUAAUUGGAAUGAGUACAAUUUAAAUCCCUUAACGAGGAACAAUUGGAGGGCAAGUCUGGUGCCAGCAGCCGCGGUAAUUCCAGCUCCAAUAGCGUAUAUUAAAGUUGUUGUGGUUAAAAAGCUCGUAGUUGAACCUUGGGCCUGGCUGGCCGGUCCGCCUCACCGCGUGCACUGGUCCGGCCGGGCCUUUCCCUCUGUGGAACCCCAUGCCCUUCACUGGGUGUGGCGGGGAAACAGGACUUUUACUUUGAAAAAAUUAGAGUGCUCCAGGCAGGCCUAUGCUCGAAUACAUUAGCAUGGAAUAAUAAAAUAGGACGUGCGGUUUUAUUUUGUUGGUUUCUAAGACCGCCGUAAUGAUUAAUAGGGACAGUCGGGGGCAUCAGUAUUCAAUUGUCAGAGGUGAAAUUCUUGGAUUUAUUGAAGACUAACUACUGCGAAAGCAUUUGCCAAGGAUGUUUUCAUUAAUCAGGA
rnacentral:rRNA from 1 species